UACGGAGGGUGCAAGCAUUAAUCGGAUUUACUGGGUGUAAAGAGUGCGUAGGCGGACUGGCAAGUCAGAUGUGAAAUUCCGUUGCUUAACAUCGGAGCUGCAUUUGAUACUACCUGUCUUGAGGAUAGAUGGAGAAAACGGAAUUCCACGUGUAGCGGUGAAAUGCGUAGAUAUGUGGAAGAACACCUGUGGCGUAAGCGGUUUUCUAAUUUAUUCCUGACGCUGAGGUACGAGAGCAAGGGGAGCAAACAGG
rnacentral:rRNA from 1 species